rnacentral:rRNA from 1 species
GACGAACGCUGGCGGCGUGCUUAACACAUGCAAGUCGAACGAUGACGACCGAGCUUGCUCGGUCUGAUUAGUGGCGAACGGGUGAGUAACACGUGAGCAACCUGCCCUUCACUCUGGGAUAACCUCGGGAAAUCGGGGCUAAUACCGGAUAUGAGCUCCUGUCGCAUGGCGGGUGUUGGAAAGUUUUUCGGUGAAGGAUGGGCUCGCGGCCUGUCAGUUUGUUGGUGAGGUAGUGGCUCACCAAGGCGAUGACGGGUAGCCGGCCUGAGAGGGCGACCGGCCACACUGGGACUGAGACACGGCCCAGACUCCUACGGGAGGCAGCAGUGGGGAAUAUUGCACAAUGGGCGAAAGCCUGAUGCAGCGACGCCGCGUGAGGGAUGACGGCCUUCGGGUUGUAAACCUCUUUCAGCAGGGAAGAAGCGAAAGUGACGGUACCUGCAGAAGAAGCGCCGGCUAACUACGUG